UGUUGUGGCUUGAGCAAGUGGAUCCAGUACCUUCACAACGGCAGUCAUCAGCUUCCAUUCAGCUGCAGUGAGGUUAUCAGCCCCAUCACACUCCGAAAGCUCCACGGUGAUUGGUUUGCGAAGCUUGACCAGCCUAGUCAUCAUCUGAUGCUCGCUAUUCCAACGCGUCGGAACAUCUUGCACCACUUCCAGGGCAUUCAGUUGCAUUUCCCUUUGUAGUUCCAUAAGGCGCGCCCGAGCCUUCGAGAUUUUUUUAUAGCGGCCAACGAUAGCCCUGGCCUUCGUGCACAGUUGGGAAAAUCCAGGUACAUCCUGCUUGACAUCACUCACGCACAACUGCAGCGUGUGCCCAAAACAUUUUAUGCCUAUCCAAGGCGACUGAGUAAUUGCUGCAGUGAAAUUUCUUCCAUUAUCUGUAACAGCGUACACUGGCACAGUACCUGGAUCGGGAAGUGCCUACUUCUUCAUCACGCUUUUCAGAAACAGCACCAAGUUUCCGGCUGUGUGAGCGUCUGCCAUUUCUAUACAUGCCAGUGCGUGCACAUGCAGUUGAAAUGAGCUGUCCAUGACGUGGCAUGUUACCGACAAGUAGCUUUCAUUAGCAUGCGAUGUCCAACUGUCCAUCGUUAUUGAAAUGGCCUCUACUCCAGCUCCCCUGGCAAUUGUC
rnacentral:lncRNA from 1 species